rnacentral:rRNA from 1 species
AGAUUGAACGCUGGCGGCAGGCUUAACACAUGCAAGUCGAGCGGUAACAGAGAUAGCUUGCUAUCUGCUGACGAGCGGCGGACGGGUGAGUAAUGCUUGGGAAUAUGCCUUAUGGUGGGGGACAACAGUUGGAAACGACUGCUAAUACCGCAUAACGUCUACGGACCAAAGGGGGGGAUCUUCGGACCUCUCGCCAUUUGAUUAGCCCAAGUGAGAUUAGCUAGUUGGUGAGGUAAUGGCUCACCAAGGCGACGAUCUCUAGCUGGUUUGAGAGGAUGAUCAGCCACACUGGGACUGAGAUACGGCCCAGACUCCUACGGGAGGCAGCAGUGGGGAAUAUUGCACAAUGGGCGAAAGCCUGAUGCAGCCAUGCCGCGUGUGUGAAGAAGGCCUUCGGGUUGUAAAGCACUUUCAGUUGUGAGGAAAGGGGUGUAGUUAAUAGCUGCAUUCUGUGACGUUAACAACAGAAGAAGCACCGGCUAACUUCGUGCCAGCAGUUGCGGUAAUACGAGGGGUGCAAGCGUUAAUCGGAAUUACUGGGCGUAAAGCGUUCGUAGGCGGUCUAUUAAGCAAGAUGUGAAAGCCCAGGGCUUAACCUUGGAACUGCAUUUUGAACUGGUAGACUAGAGUACUGUAGAGGGUGGUGGAAUUUCCAGUGUAGCGGUGAAAUGCGUAGAGAUUGGAAGGAACAUCAGUGGCGAAGGUGGCCACCUGGACAGAUACUGACGCUGAGGAACGAAAGCGUGGGGAGCGAACAGGAUUAGAUACCCUGGUAGUCCACGCCGUAAACGAUGUCAACUAGCCGUUUGUGGACUUGAUCCGUGAGUGGCGCAGUUAAUGUACUAAGUUGACCGCCUGGGGAGUACGGCCGCAAGGUUA